GGAAAGCGGCAAACGGCGUAGUAAUAUGUAGGUACGUACCCUCAGGUUGGGAAUAGCCACGGGAAACUGUGGGUAAUGCCCAAUAAUCUCUGCGGAGCAAAGGUGAGAUUCCGCCUGAGGAGCGGCUUACACGAUAUUAGCUAGUUGGUGGGGUAAUGGCCUACCAAGGCAACGAUGUCUAGGGGGUGUGAGAGCAUGGCCCCCACGACCGGAACUGAGACACUGUCCGGACACCUACGGGUGGCUGCAGUCGAGAAUCUUCCGCAAUGGGCGAAAGCCUGACGGAGCGACGCCGCGUGCGGGAUGAAGGCCCUUGGGUUGUAAACCGCUGUCAGAGGGGAUGAAAUCAUGGUAGGCAAUCCUUCCAUGUUGACAGAGCCUCAGAGGAAGCACGGGCUAAGUACGUGCCAGCAGCCGCGGUAACACGUACUGUGCGAACGUUAUUCGGAAUCACUGGGCUUAAAGGGUACGUGGGCGGUUUAUCAAGUCAGAUGUGAAAUGCCACAGCUCAACUGUGGCACUGCGUUUGAAACUGAUAGACUAGAGUAUUCCAGGGGUGUGCGGAACUGCCAGUGGAGCGGUGAAAUGCGUUGAUAUUGGCAGGAACACCGGAGGCGAAGGCGGCACACUGGGGGAUAACUGACGCUGAGGUACGAAAGCCAGGGUAGCGAACGGGAUUAGAUACCCCGGUAGUCCUGGCUGUAAACGAUGAGCACUGGGCGAGAGACGAUUCGUC
rnacentral:rRNA from 1 species